AGGCGGAGCUUGCAGUGAGCUGAGAUCUGGCCACUGCACUCCAGCCUGGGCGACAGAGCGAGACUCCGUCUCAAAAAAAAAAAAAAAAAAAAGAAUGAAAGUAUAAAAGCCAUAGAAGAAUUUUUCUGUUAUCUUGGGAGUAGAGAGACCUUCCUAAGUUUGACACAAAUCCCAGAAGCUAUAACAUAAAAGAUUGAUACAUUUGACAACAUCAAAAUGAGAACCACUUCAUGAGAGUACCACCAUAAACAAAGUCAAAAGAUACAUGAUAAUCUGAGAAAAAUAAUUUGGAAAAAAAUAUGAUAAAAGGAGUUACUUUUCUUCAUAUACAAAGAGCCUUUAAAAAUAAAUAAAAAGUGUUAUUAAUUGAAAAAUGGGCAAAAGGACAUGGAUAGAAAUUCACAGAAAAGAAGUGUAAGUGGCUCUUAAAUAUAUGAAAAGACCCACAACCCUCUUAUAAUAAAAAGUACAAAUCAGAGCCACAAUAAGAAGGCAUUUGUAAUCUAUCAGAUUGGAAGAGAUCAAAAUAUUUAAUAAUACACUGAUUUGGUGACAGUGUAAAGAAAUAUUACUUUCAUACAUUGCUGGUGAGAGUAAAUGGAUAUAAUUGCUUUGGAAGGCAAUUUUGUGAUAUUUAUCUAAAUUAUAAAUGCCCAUCUCUUAGAACCCAGCUGUUCCACUAAUAGGUAUCUGUCCUAGAGAAACAUUCACAUGUACAAUGUUCAUUGGACAUUAUAGUAAUCGUAGAAAAUUGAAGACAACAAUGUAAAUAUCCAUCAGUGGGAGAUGAGCUAAAUAAAACCUGAGUUGUUCAGAUCUUUAGUGGGUCAAUAAAAUACCUUAGUGGGUUUUGACACUGUGUGAAACAAAAGAAUAGAAGAUAAUGGAGUGCAUUGCACAUAAUGUGGCUGAAUAUUUGGUGAGCUUUUGUUUCAGUUUUGUGUAUUCACAAAUGCGAACUGGAUUACAAUAUAAAGUGUAUUUCUUACUGUGUGAUUCAGUCAAAAAAGUUGGAAAACACUGCAAGAGUAGUUAAAAGGAAUACAUUCAGUUAGUAACUAGUCGUAAGACUAGAUCUCAGAAACGUAAUUUUGAGUGAAAAAAGCAGGUUGCAGAGUGAUAGGUACAGGGUGACACUGUUUUUGAAAAAGAAAACACACAAAACGAUAUCAUAUUUUUGACAGUAUAAUAUUUUUAAUGGAAUCACUUAUUCAUACAAAAGAGGCCUGAAAGCUGUGAACCAGGCUUGUAACAGAGGUUUCCUCUGGGGACAGAGUGGUGUUCAGAGAGGCCUAUGCUUUAUGGCACAUUUUUUAAAAAUGUGAAUGUUUUGCCUGUAUAAGUGGCUAAAAAAUGUUUACACAUUAUUGAAAGACUCUCCAAGGAUGCUUUAAGUCCAGGUGCUUUCCCCUUGGUUGUUUUUCACUUACUCUAAUUUGUCUUCUGUUGCUGCUCAGUUUGUGUCUUUCCUUUUGCUUUCAUUUGGGUGUCUUGUAAAUUUGUAAGUACCACCCUGUUGAUUUUGUCUUUCAAAGUUAUUAUCUGAAGAUUGCACAUAAAAUUCCUUGUAUCAGUGGCUUUUAUUGGGUCUUUGUGUUUCUUUUUUAACUUUUCCAGUUUAUUCCUUUGAAAUAAAUUGGGCCCAUGGUUUAUUAAUUUCAUGAAAAACUUUUUUCCCCACAGGGCCCACUUUUGGCUUUCCUUCUCUUCCCUGACAUUUGCUCACAUUCUUGUUACUUGUAUUUUCACUUGUAAUUUUUCUUUUAUCUUUCAUUUUUUCUUCUGUAAAUUUUGGCCAAUGCAAGUGCAGCAGUACUUCUUAAACUUCAAGGUGCACAUGAAUCUCCUUGGGUCUAGAACUCUUGUUAAAACACAGAUUUUGGGCCAGCCGUGGUGGCCCACGCCUCUUCCCAAAGUGCUGGGAUUACAGACAUGAGCCAUCAUGCCCCAUCACUGAGCUGACUUUGUAGGUCCAUUUGGAUCAGUUAGUUAUUCUUAACAUUUUUGGUGGCUGACAGACGUCUUUGGGAAUAUGAUGGAAGCCAUGGACUUUCCCUUCAGAAACAUUCCCCACUUCUGUAUUCAUGCACACCAAACUCCCAGUUUUUAUUUUGCCUGUGUGAGCUGCAAGCCUCCUAAAGCCUAGCUAGCUAUGACCAUACAUAGGACCCCUGAUUUAAAUGGUGCUAUUAAGACUGUACUUUCAGGAAUCAUUUCUAUAGUUCACUACUAAAGAAAUUUCUCUGAACAUGUAGAGCACCAGAAAAUAUUUUAAAAGAUUUUUUUUAGGCGGGGUGCGGUGGCUCAUGCCUGUAAUCCCAGCACUUUGGGAGGCUGAAGUGGGCAGAUCACCUGAGGUUGGGAGUUCGAGACCAGCCUGACUAACAUCUGUCUCUACUAAAAAUACCAAAAUUAGCUAGUCGUGGUGGUACGUGCCUGUAAUCCCAGCUACUUGGGAGGCUGAAGCAGGAGAAUCGUUUGAACCUGGGAGGUGGAGGUUGUGGUGAGCCGAGAUCGCACCGUUGCACUCCAGCCUGGGCAACAAGAGCAAAACUCUGUCUCAAAAAAGAAAAAAAA
rnacentral:lncRNA from 1 species